UACAGAGGUCUCAAGCGUUGUUCGGAUUCAUUGGGCGUAAAGGGUGCGUAGGUGGCGUGGUAAGUCGGGUGUGAAAUUUCGGAGCUUAACUCCGAAACUGCAUUCGAUACUGCCGUGCUUGAGGACUGGAGAGGAGACUGGAAUUUACGGUGUAGCAGUGAAAUGCGUAGAGAUCGUAAGGAAGACCAGUGGCGAAGGCGGGUCUCUGGACAGGUCCUGACGCUGAGGCACGAAGGUCAGGGGAGCAAACGGG
rnacentral:rRNA from 1 species